rnacentral:rRNA from 1 species
UACGAAGGGGGCUAGCGUUGCUCGGAAUCACUGGGCGUAAAGCGCACGUAGGCGGAUUGUUAAGUCAGGGGUGAAAUCCUGGAGCUCAACUCCAGAACUGCCUUGAUACUGGCGAUCUCGAGUCCGGGAGAGGUGAGUGGAACUGCGAGUGUAGAGGUGAAAUUCGUAGAUAUUCGCAAGAACACCAGUGGCGAAGGCGGCUCACUGGCCCGGUACUGACGCUGAGGUGCGAAAGCGUGGGGAGCGA